UAGGGAAUCUUCGGCAAUGGACGAAAGUCUGACCGAGCAACGCCGCGUGAGUGAAGAAGGUUUUCGGAUCGUAAAACUCUGUUGUUAGAGAAGAACAAGGACGUUAGUAACUGAACGUCCCCUGACGGUAUCUAACCAGAAAGCCACGGCUAACUACGUGCCAGCAGCCGCGGUAAUACGUAGGUGGCAAGCGUUGUCCGGAUUUAUUGGGCGUAAAGCGAGCGCAGGCGGUUUCUUAAGUCUGAUGUGAAAGCCCCCGGCUCAACCGGGGAGGGUCAUUGGAAACUGGGCGACUUGAGUGCAGAAGAGGAGAGUGGAAUUCCAUGUGUAGCGGUGAAAUGCGUAGAUAUAUGUAGGAACACCAGUGGCGAAGGCGGCUCUCUGGUCUGUAACUGACGCUGAGGCUCGAAAGCGUGGGGAGCAAACAGG
rnacentral:rRNA from 1 species